rnacentral:rRNA from 1 species
AACGAACGCUGGCGGCAGGCUUAACACAUGCAAGUCGAGCGCCCCGCAAGGGGAGCGGCAGACGGGUGAGUAACGCGUGGGAAUCUACCCAUCUCUACGGAAUAACGCAUGGAAACGUGUGCUAAUACCGUAUACGUCCUUCGGGAGAAAGAUUUAUCGGAGAUGGAUGAGCCCGCGUUGGAUUAGCUAGUUGGUGGGGUAAAGGCCUACCAAGGCGACGAUCCAUAGCUGGUCUGAGAGGAUGAUCAGCCACACUGGGACUGAGACACGGCCCAGACUCCUACGGGAGGCAGCAGUGGGGAAUAGUGGACAAUGGGCGCACGCCUGAUCCAGCCAUGCCGCGUGAGUGAUGAAGGCCCUAGGGUUGUAAAGCUCUUUCACCGGUGAAGAUAAUGACGGUAACCGGAGAAGAAGCCCCGGCUAACUUCGUGCCAGCAGCCGCCGCGGUAA